UACGUAGGGGGCAAGCGUUGUCCGGAUUUAUUGGGCGUAAAGAGCGUGUAGGCGGCCUUACAGGUCAGCUGUGAAAACUCGAGGCUCAACCUCGAGACGUCGGUUGAAACCGUAAGGCUAGAGUCCGGAAGAGGAGAGUGGAAUUCCCGGUGUAGCGGUGAAAUGCGCAGAUAUCAGGAAGAACACCAAUGGCGAAAGCAGCUCUCUGGGACGGUACUGACGCUGAGACGCGAAAGCGUGGGGAGCGAACAGG
rnacentral:rRNA from 1 species